rnacentral:rRNA from 1 species
GAUGAACGCUGGCGGCGUGCCUAAUACAUGCAAGUCGAGCGAACAGACGAGGAGCUUGCUCCUCUGACGUUAGCGGCGGACGGGUGAGUAACACGUGGAUAACCUACCUAUAAGACUGGGAUAACUUCGGGAAACCGGAGCUAAUACCGGAUAAUAUAUUGAACCGCAUGGUUCAAUAGUGAAAGACGGUUUUGCUGUCACUUAUAGAUGGAUCCGCGCCGCAUUAGCUAGUUGGUAAGGUAACGGCUUACCAAGGCGACGAUGCGUAGCCGACCUGAGAGGGUGAUCGGCCACACUGGAACUGAGACACGGUCCAGACUCCUACGGGAGGCAGCAGUAGGGAAUCUUCCGCAAUGGGCGAAAGCCUGACGGAGCAACGCCGCGGGAGUGAUGAAGGUCUUCGGAUCGUAAAACUCUGUUAUUAGGGAAGAACAAAUGUGUAAGUAACUAUGCACGUCUUGACGGUACCUAAUCAGAAAGCCACGGCUAACUACGUG